rnacentral:rRNA from 1 species
CCCGGGCCUUGUACACACCGCCCGUCACACCAUGGGAGUUGGUUUUACCUGAAGGCGGUGCGCCAACCGCAAGGGGGCAGCCGACCACGGUAAGGUCAGCGACUGGGGUG